GGCUGCGCGCGCUUCCCGCCACUACGGCGCUGAGGCGAUUCCCGCCGGGCGGGGUCGCUGAGGGGCCAGAGGCGGCCCCGGGCCCUCAGCUCAGCCCCGCUGGAUCCUCACCACAGCCCCCCCCCAGGCUGCGACCACGCCACCGCCUCCUCAGCCCUGCCAGAACCGUGUGUACGUGUUCCUGUGUCACCUGCUCCAGGUGACCCUGCCUAGGCUGGGGUUUGAACUGGAUCUUCUCCAGAGGCCCCUUCCGACGCCAGCUAUUCUGUGUGUACCCGUGAAUUCCCGUUCCGGAGCACUCCAGCCUGUAUCUCACCUCCAGCCUCUCGCUGCGUGCUCCUCUCACCCUCUUCGGUAUCCCCAGUGCCGCUUUCCCUUUGCCUCAUCCCUCAUUAGCUGUGUAAUUAUUGCCUGCCGCAAUUACACCAGUCCCAGCGCUGAGGUCUGGCUGCAAGCUGGGAAUUUUCUGUCACAACACGCUCACAAGUUCUCCCAUGUGGGAAGGAUCCCUUUCCUGAUGAUACUUUGCUGUUUCAGGCAGUUUUUACCUGUGCCUCCGCUGCUCAGGGUGAGGAUUAUCAAGGCGAGGCAGAGCUGAGGUGUGGUCCACACUUGUGUCUUCACUGCCACAGUAAUCUCAGCUGUGCAGAUACCCUGAGAGGUGACUACUCUAAGUUUACUACCCCUGAGAAUGUCACCUUCUAAAGCCUGGCUCCAUUCAGUCUCCUCCGCUCCAGAGGAUCCCUGUGAUGUGGGGCUGAGCAGCCCUGGGAGCGCCGCAGACAGAUGGCUCCACUUUGCUGAACAUUCCUGUCUUGCCUGUGAGUGUGAAACAAACCCUGUGCAACUGCAGAAAAAUGUGUUCUUUGGCUUUUUUCCCCCUACAGUGCCUCUCUGGCAGGAGGGGAAGGUAGAGCAGAGGGGAAGAAGAGGCGGCGUGUGCUCCUUUACUACUGAAUUUUAAGACAUCAAGAAGGAAAAGAUGGAAUCAGAACAGCAGCUUCCUUUGCCCACUGCAAGGAUGUGCCCCAGCACCUGUGUUGGCUGAGCCAUGGAGCUACAAGUGGACGAGAAAAGCUGCUGUUGUCUCCUUCUCUAGUUUUACCUCAAAAUCCAUCCCAGAGGGGAAGAGCAGACCCUUCACAUUCCUUACAGCCACCAUGUGGGAUCACCACCUACUGCUCUGUCUCCUCUGCUCAACUUUUUGGGCAGGUUUGUGUCAUUUGUGUCCCUCUUCCUGUUCCCACAGGAAUGAAGCUGUGGGAAGGUCAGAGCCAACACAGGAGGAAGGCACAGGGAAAUCCACGGCCAGGGAAUCAGACUGCAGCAGGGAGCUGCUGCCAGAGUUAUUUGUGAUGGUGUCAAGCACUAUCACUGUCAGAAAUACUUCUAAUAAGUAUUAAAUAUUAAACACUUUUAGUAAGUACUAAGCACUGUUAAUAAGUACUAAGCCUUCUCAAUACAUUUCCUGCCCACAGGUGCCAUGGACUAGUAAGAUCCCCACUGUUCUUUACCCUGAAAUUAAUUCCAUUUGAUUCCACCUUGCUGUCCCUUAGAGCUCUCCUGAGCCUCCCCACAGCUUUGGGCUUUGGCUGUGCUGCUUGCAGAUCAUCCAGACACGUGGCAUUUGUUCCCAAGGAGUCACUGCACAAUUUGCACUCAAGGGUUUUACUGUUUCCACCCAGUGUCCAGAGCAAUGCCACAGUGUUGUUCUUCUCCUACAAACUUGUUUUCUGGUAUAGAUACAGCUUUGAAUUCGGUUUUAAAUCUGCCCAUGGAAACUCCAUUCCAGGGGUUAUUUUGUUGAUUUUCUUACCCUCCACCAACUCACAUUUUCCCCAGUUUACCACAUUUUUUCUUUAAAGUGAACUCUUUUGAAUUUACUAAGCACCCUUCUGUGAGGCUUAACAGCUAUCUGCCACAUUAUUACCUUUUUUUAUUACCUCUGUCAAACUGUGCACCUGCUGAAAUCAUCUUUUGCCCAUUCAUUCUCAAUCCUGCUGCGUCUCUGUUGCCAAAUGCUGUUUCUACAUUGACCAGCGGCUCCAAAGUUCAGCUCUGAAUACAUUCAGGCCUUGCCUCUGGCGUUGUGACACCAAGUUUUUGUAGAUUUUCUGCUUUUCCACUUUUACCUCAGCUUUUACAUUUAUAUUAGAAAGCCUUUUAUCUCUUUCUAACCUGCAGUCCACCUGGCUCAGGGGGAAUUUCAGCCUUUUUUCCAGCCCAGCCCAGCCCAUGUCUAGUCACCAACGGACUGGGAAGCUCCUCCCUGUCACUCUGCUCUUUCAUCCCUAAAAUUCCAUAUUCUACUGCUGCUUCUUCAGCUUCUUGUGCUUUGAAAAACCACUCUAAUAUCAUAUAUACACAUAAUCCAGUAUUCCCUGAGAAGGUCAUUACCUUCAGAUCUCAUUAUGCCUGAAUAUGUAUCCAAGGGGGCUGUGUUGGUUCUGUGCCCAGCCACGAGGGGAUGGGCACUGCUCUCUUCAGCUUGACCCUGUAUCUGCACAGGGAGUGAUGCCAAGCACAGCAAUCCCAGAACCAUCACUGAACCAAACGUUUAUUCAUGUGGGUCUCUCACUUGUUGAGGCACACAAAAACCUCCAGAGGCUUUCUGCCCACAGUAAAAUAAGCAUUACACAAGGAACUGUUACGUGGUGGUGCUGCCCUUCCUGCAGACACACACAUAAUCCUUGUCUUUAUGCCUGAACUGCUUUUUUAGUUCUUCUGCUUUAUUUAUUACGGGAUUUUUCUCCCUUUUACAUGUCUUGCAGAUAUAGGGACUUUUAGUCCUUUAAAUGGCAUUUGUUGCUGAUUCACUUCACCAAAGACAUCUCCAGAAGAACUCACAAUUCUCUUCCAAUUCAUCUUUAGUUUUUUUCAGCUGCAGAGUCUAACUGUCAUCCCUGCGGCUCCUUUAAUUCUAUGCAAAAAUCCCUCCUUUUCUGCUUUCAACCCCAAAAUGCAUAUUCUCUGCCUCUUCAUGGCUUUCAAGAUAUCACUUUUGAUUUCUUUAUUCCUUAUCAGCUUCCUAAUAAUUAGUUUUCCAUAUUUUUCCCAGUAUCACUCUAUACCAUCUCCCAGCUGAUCUCCCUAGCUGCCCCUCUCACACCCUUAAGGUUCUAUUUCCUUAUCUUUUCAAACAUUUCCCCCUUUCCAAGGGGUAUCCCAUUCCUCUAUGCAUUUUCAAACCAAACAACCCAUUUUUUGCAUCAAAUCUAGCAAGUGAAUAAAAAUGCACUUAAAUACACCGAAGUUGGUUUCAAUCUGGAGCAAGUGUAGAAUAGAAACACCACUGGAGCCAACAGGAAUUUGGAGCAGGAAAAUGUUAUGGACUGAGCAGCCUCCACAGGCUGCAGCUUUUCUAGAAACAUCCUAAUUUGAAACAGAUCCCAAGUGCUAACGAGGUAGGUGCUGUCAUCACUGGAGGACCAGGGGCUGGAAGUUGUGAUUCUUUUUCUACACCACUUUUGGCAUUACAGUAAUUUUACCCAAAGCAGGCACAUGAAGUAACACCUCCACUAAGCAAAGAGCAGCUGAAGACCACCAACUCAACACUGCUCACAGGGACAGCUCUCCCAAAGCCACAUAUCCCCACAGCCACAGCAUAUCCAUCCCUGCAGCUGGGCCAGCAACUUGGACAAACUCCCCUAUGGAAAGGACUGAAUGGAGUGGGAGCUGGUUUUAUUCCUGUUGCCGUUUCAGCACAAUUUAGCAGCUGGAAACGAGAAAGAGAAGCUGGUGCCACAUGACAAAGCUUUCCACAGUCAGCAUCCCUACAGCAGCGUUUAAAGAAGCAGGAGUUAUAUUUCAGUAAACAGCAGAUCCACAAUACUUCACCAAAGGUGGCAAAUGGAGCCCCUUGAAAAAUUGAAGGGUAGGCAGCCUGAGGUUUCCUUGGAUAUUGUGAUUUAGUCACGCUGCUGGAAGCUGAGUUAAUCAAUCUCUUGCUGCUGUUCUUUGCCCAUUGCUGGUUUUCCUCCAAGGGCUUUUUGCAGGUUGUCUAUCUGAAGAAAGCCGAGAAGGAUCCUCUGGGCUGAAGCCUCUUGGUCCCCAGGCUCUACCCUACAGCUGUUGCAGGUUGCACGUGGCCCCAGGCACAGCAAACCUGGGGUUUCUGUCAGCGUGUGGGGCCUUGUGCAAACCUCGGGGCUGGCACCUCAUGAAAAGCCAGUGGUGUGUGAAGAGCUCAGGCUCCUGCUGGUGCUGCUUGGCUUCAGAUACUGCUCAGCUGGCAGCUUCCAGGCCAACACCUUCCAAAGAGGAGAAAGGCCGAGUUCCAGUUUCCAGCCUGACUGGGAGAAGCAGGAGCUUGGAGCACUUGCCAGCCCAAACACCUCCCAGUGGACUCACCCCCAGGUAGAACCCAGCAUUCCUGGCCCAACUCCAACCAUGCAGCAUCUCACCCUCACAUAUGACCUGCAGCCAGCAGCCAGCUCUCCUACAGGUGGUUCAGUGCCUCAGGGCCAGGGCUGCUGGCUCUAAGGGCACAACAGCAUUCUGGGGAGGUCUCAUUUUGAGCUUUCUGUCCCGAAAGUUAAAUCCUCUAGAUUCUGUGAAAGAAACCAAGCAUACAGGCCUAGCUAGCAGCUUCUCUGCUCUGCUCAGGACACUUCUGACAAAGCAACCAAGAGUAUCUACCAACAACUCAUCAUGGGACCAAGUGCAGCAGAACAAUCACAGCCACCCUCUAGCAAUCAGAUGCAAUUGGCUUUAAAUGUUUUCAGAAUGCUUAGCAAGUUAAGGGGACUUUUGAGAGACUCAGCUUUUACUUUCUCAGUAAAAACAAUAUAUAGGGUUGGAACAAAAGCUCUGUGGGUCACAGCAAUAACUGGCCUAAGUUACUACUGGCUAAAGCCUUGUGCACACUAAAAACCACCCCUGCAGAGGAAUCCCUUCUCCUGAGCCUCUCCUGCCAUGUUGCCUAUCACGUCCUGCACCAGGGAGGGCUGAUCCCAGGCAAAAACCCCCAGGAGCUGGACUCAGUGAUGCUGAUGGGUCCCUUCCAACCCAGCAUAUUCUAGAUUCUAUGAAAAGACACUUCCAUACACCAAGAUCUGCUCCUAGACCUGAGGCUUUUUUGGAGAAUAAGGUAAAAGCUGAACGUUGACACAAGCAGAGAGCACAGCAUCCCGGAUCAGUGGAUUUCCUGACCUGAUUCCCAGAAAUGGCUGAUCCUGUUCUGAAAACCCUUUCCUAGAAAGAAACCAGCCUUAGGCUGGUCUGAAAUGUGCUGUUUGGUGGCUUCAGGUUAUGGGACAUUCUCAGUAAUAAAGAGGGAUGUAAGCAAUGCA